CGCCGCUUCCAUCACAACGGAUCGUCCGGCACGUACCUGCCGGUGAAGGAGAAACCA
rfam:Microbacterium sp. AR7-10 contig_11, whole genome shotgun sequence.